rnacentral:rRNA from 1 species
GAUACCCGAAUGGGGAAACCCAGUGUGAUGCGACACACUAUGAUUAACUGAAUCCAUAGGUUAAUGAGGCGAAGCGGGGGAACUGAAACAUCUAAGUGCCCCGAGGAAAAGAAAUCAGCCGAGAUGCCCCCAGUAGCGGAGAGCGAACGGGGAGGGGCCCAGAGGCUGAAUCAGCAUGUGUGUUAGUGGAAGCGUCUGGAAAGGCGCGCGAUACAGGGUGACAGCCCCGUACACAAAAGCGCAUGUGCUGUGAGCUCGAUGAGUAGGGCGGGACACGUGGUAUCCUGUCUGAAUAUGGGGGGACCAUCCUCCAAGGCUAAAUACUCCUGACUGACCGAUAGUGAACCAGUACCGUGAGGGAAAGGCGAAAAGAACCCCGGCGAGGGGAGUGAAAAAGAACCUGAAACCGUGUACGUACAAGCAGUGGGAGCCCCACCACUAAGCCAGUGGUGAACUCCACAUACGCAUCCUUUGCUGAGGAUACGGUUAACGGAGCGAAAGCGACGUUCAACCUCAAAAGAAGCAGAGGGGGCUUAGUGGUGGGGUGACUGCGUACCUUUUGUAUAAUGGGUCAGCGACUUAUAUUCUGUAGCAAGGUUAACCGAAUAGGGGAGCCGGAGGGAAACCGAGUCUUAACCGGGCGUUAAGUUGCAGGGUAU